ACUAAUCAUUUAGGUCAAUGUUUUGAAGUUGAUUACUAUGGAAAAAGGACUUCCACUGCACUGAGAUUCUCCAUUUCAUCAGCUGUUUUCCAUGUUGAAGAAAUAAAUCUGGAAUGUCAGUUUGAAUGGACUGUCUCUGCUUGUAACCGCAUGGAAACCAGCCAAGAAGAAUUGUUUCUUACAGCUAUCUUCCUCAGUAGCUUCCAGCUUCUUCCAGCUUUGCUCUGUCACUCAGCUGUGAAUCCAGCACCUGGAUCUCUGUGAGGACAUCUAUAUAAAACAAAGGACUGCUGGUUUAGUGAGAACUACCGGUGUCACAGGCCUGGUCCACUACCCUUGCAAAUCACUGUGGUAAAGAGUAUUCAGUACUGCACAAAGCAGGGGAGAUGUACAACACAACUAAAGGAUAUGUGCAGUACUUUCAGUGAGAUAUGAAAUAUUAUAAAAUAAAGC